CCUUCGGGUUGUAAAGCACUUUUGUCCGGAAAGAAAUCAUCCCUGCUAAUACUGGGGGUGGAUGACGGUACCGGAAGAAUAAGCACCGGCUAACUACGUGC
rnacentral:rRNA from 1 species